rnacentral:rRNA from 1 species
CCUACGGGUGGCUGCAGUCGAGGAUCUUCGGCAAUGGGCGCAAGCCUGACCGAGCGACGCCGCGUGUGCGACGAAGGCCUUCGGGUUGUAAAGCACUGUCGAGGGGGAUGAAGGCCCGCAAGGGCUUGACAGAUCCCUGGAGGAAGCACGGGCUAAGUUCGUGCCAGCAGCCGCGGUAAGACGAACCGUGCGAACGUUAUUCGGAUUCACUGGGCUUAAAGGGCGCGUAGGCGGGUCGGCGAGUCGGGGGUGAAAUCUUUCGGCCCAACCGGAAAAGGGCCUCCGAUACCGGCGACCUCGAGUGGGGUAGGGGCAGGCGGAACUCAGGGUGGAGCGGUGAAAUGCGUAGAUAUCCUGAGGAACGCCGGUGGCGAAAGCGGCCUGCUGGACCCCUCCUGACGCUGAGGCGCGAAAGCCAGGGGAGCAAACGGGAUUAGAUA